rnacentral:ribozyme from 13 species
AAAAAAAGAAAGAAAAAAAAAAGGUCGUAGGCAGUCAAAUGUCAAAUGACAGUCAAAGGAGGUCGAGCCUUCUGGGUUGGAGUUGCAUUUCUUCUAUUGCACUAUUUUUGGCCUUAUAUUAUCAACAAUGGCACGUGAUACUGAGAGUGCAAGGAAGGGU